AGCGAACGCUGGCGGCAGGCCUAACACAUGCAAGUCGAACGAAGCCUUCGGGCCUAGUGGCGGACGGGUGAGUAACACGUGGGAACGUACCUUUUGGUUCGGAAUCACGCAGAGAAAUUUGCGCUAAUACCGGAUGAGCACUUCGGGGGAAAGAUUUAUCGCCGAAAGAUCGGCCCGCGUUGGAUUAGGUAGUUGGUGUGGUAAAGGCGCACCAUGCCUACGAUCCAUAGCUGGUCUGAGAGGAUGAUCAGCCACACUGGGACUGAGACACGGCCCAGACUCCUACGGGAGGCAGCAGUGGGGAAUCUUGCGCAAUGGGCGAAAGCCUGACGCAGCCAUGCCGCGUGAAUGAUGAAGGUCUUAGGAUUGUAAAAUUCUUUUACCAGGGACGAUAAUGACGGUACCUGGAGAAAAAGCCCCGGCUAACUUCGUGCCAGCAGCCGCAGUAAUAC
rnacentral:rRNA from 1 species